GCAUCUAGAGUGUGUCCCUCAUGGUUUCAAGUGAUUUGCUCUCAUUUAAAGCUUUUAGACUUUUAAAACUGCUUGAACAUGUCUCGUUACCUCGUCUGCUAUGCGUGUGCACGUGGGACCGUAGUUGUGAGGAGUUUUAUAAGAUUUUAACACACGUUGUGAGCAGUGGGGUAAUUAUGAGGAGCUCCUCACAAUGAAAAGCCAUAAGAACAAUGUAAAAUCCGGACUUGUCAUUUUCGAGGCGAUUUCGAUUUCUUCCUCACAACGUUCACACAGCAACCAAAGCUUCGCGGUAGGUGUAUAAGAUAGCGCUGCUGUCGCUUUAUGUGAGACGAUGACGAGAUCUCCGGCAGAGGCCGCGUCGAUCGUAACGGAGCACCGGUCAGCCGGCAACGAUCCCCGAUAGAGGCCGCGUCGAUCGUAACGGUCAGCCAGCGGUCAGCCGGCAACGCGCAACCUGCUUUUUAAGGGUUAUGUUUUCUUGUUUAUGAGUGAAAUUAUCAGAAAACGAAGAAGUGAUUCUAUUGUUAUGGUGUUGUGCGCGUGUUCGCUGUUCGGUCAGUUCGGCAGUUCUCGUUCAUUAACUAUUUAUUUGUUUUUGUCUACUGUACAAAUCAAGACCGGAUCCAUACGAUUUAUCUCUGUAGUGCUGUCUGAAACCUGCAGGGCUUCGAAGGAAAAGUGCUGGCAGUAGGAGCUCGCGUGGUGAAGGCCCACUACGUCCUUCGAAAUUGGUAAGUCACCUUUUAAAGCUCAUAUCAUCUUUCUUCCCUCUAAAAGCGUAUUUUUUGUUGAAUCGCAAAUAUUUGUUUACAACGGUAUUUCGACUCGCAUGGAUUUCCGUUUCUUUUGGCCGAGUGGGAAGUUUAUUUAUAAUUAAAUUAUCGGCGGAGGAUGUGCUUCUCGGUAGGUCGCUUGGGGGCGGGGGGAGGGGGCGCUCGCCGCCUAAAAAUCCGACCCCCGUCGUCCCCUCCCCCCCCCUACGCGAACUAACGAGAAGCAUAUUCUCCGAUAAUUUAGCUAUUAAUGAAAUAGCAGUGCUACUAAUGUUAACCUGUAAUCGGCCCUUUGCGGAUCUUCAAACAGGAAU
rnacentral:lncRNA from 1 species